CUUCUGUGUCAUGGUGUCUCAUCUCUCUGCUGCUAGGAAGGAAGUACCACGAAUGAUUGAUGUGGAGAAGUGUCCUACAGGUGUUAAUAACAACACCAAAGAUGGUGUGAUUCCUGAUUCAACCUGGAAAAUUGACUGUACUGCCUGUUUAGCUGCGCACAGUGAAAGGAGAAUUCUCCAAAAGUACCAGUUUUUCCUUCUGAGUCAGCCCAAGUGCCUGUGUUAAUGGCCUCUGGAGAGAAACACCUCAACACAUCCACAGAAUGAAGGCUCCAGCUGCAAAACUCUCUUCCCUCAGGGACUCCACAGGAAUCUGUGCUCUUCCUCCUGAAGGGAUUAACCCCUGUUCCUCACUGACCAGAGAUACCAGUCUGAAGUCCAUGUGUCUUCAUCCUACAAAUAUGGUUACUGGAGCCCACUGACACAGGCCUAGGGGAGGGACUGAGAAAGAGGUACACAGGUAUCUUUGUGCUGAUCUGUACUUCACACAGAGCACUCUUGUGUUUGACAUAUGUCUUAGGUGUGUAUGGAGUUAUAUCAGUGAAAACCUAUGGUUCAUUACCAAUCUGCUUUGGUCCUGGAGGAGGGGAGGUGGAAACAGGAGGGGGGAAAAAUACCCAGAUGGGAAAUGAACCUGUGCAUCUCUCCUGGGAAAAUGCAUUUCAGUCAU